rnacentral:rRNA from 1 species
UACGUAGGGAGCAAGCGUUGUUCGGAUUUACUGGGCGUAAAGGGCGCGUAGGCGGCAAAUUAAGUCAGCUGUGAAAUCUCCGAGCUUAACUCGGAACGGUCAGCUGAUACUGAUCUACUAGAGUGCGGAAGGGGCAAUCGGAAUUCCUGGUGUAGCGGUGAAAUGCGCAGAUAUCAGGAGGAACACCGGUGGCGAAGGCGGGUCUCUGGGCCGAUACUGACGCUGAGGAGCGAAAGCGUGGGGAGCGAACAGG